UACGAAGGGUGCAAACGUUGCUCGGAAUUAUUGGGCGUAAAGCGCGCGUAGGCGGCUUGGCAAGUCGGAUGUGAAAUCCCUCGGCUCAACCAAGGAAGUGCAUCCGAAACUGGCGAGCUUGAGUACUAAAGAGGGUCGCGGAAUUCCCGGUGUAGAGGUGAAAUUCGUAGAUAUCGGGAGGAACACCAGCGGCGAAGGCGGCGACCUGGGUAGAUACUGACGCUGAGGUGCGAAAGCGUGGGGAGCAAACAGG
rnacentral:rRNA from 1 species